AUACGGUAAUUUACCUUUUUGGUACAGGUUGUUUAUUCCUUCCAUAUGGAUCAUUACUUUCUUCAAAUCCUGGUCCAAUAUUUAAAUCCAAUGAUUGAUGACUUUCUUUUCUUUGAUAUUUCACUUGAGGUGCAUCAAUAUCUCCAGAUG
ensembl:ncRNA B0207.14 ncRNA